UACGGGGGGUGCAAGCGUUGCUCGGAAUUAUUGGGCGUAAAGCGCGCGUAGGCGGCUACUUAAGUCGGAUGUGAAAGCCCUUGGCUCAACUGAGGAAGUGCACCCGAAACUGAGUGGCUUGAGUACUAAAGAGGGUCGCGGAAUUCCCGGUGUAGAGGUGAAAUUCGUAGAUAUCGGGAGGAACACCGGUGGCGAAGGCGGCGACCUGGGUAGAUACUGACGCUGAGGCGCGAAAGCGUGGGGAGCAAACAGG
rnacentral:rRNA from 1 species